rnacentral:rRNA from 1 species
CCAGCCUGCCAGUGACCCUGUUUAACGGCCGCGGUAUCCUAACCGUGCGAAGGUAGCGUAAUCACUUGUUCUUUAAAUGAGGACUAGUAUGAAUGGCAUCACGAGGGUUAUACUGUCUCCUCCCCUUUAUCAGUGAAACUAAUCUCCUCGUGAAGAAGCGAGGAUGAACUUAUAAGACGAGAAGACCCUAUGGAGCUUCAAACUUCCAACAAUUAUCUUUUUUAUAUUAACCUUAAGGCUUUUACAUCAACUUUAAUAAUAUGUAUGUUAGUUUUCGGUUGGGGUGACCGCGGAGUAAAACUCAUCCUCCGCAGUGAAUAUGAAUCAUUAAGCAAAAAACUACGAUUUUAUGCAUCAAAAAAUUGAUGACCCAACAUUUUGAUCAACGAACCAAGUUACCCUAGGGAUAACAGCGCAAUCCAUCUCAAGAGCUCAUAUCGACAGAUGGGUUUACGACCUCGAUGUUGGAUCAGGGUGCCCCAGUGGUGCAGCCGCUACUAAAGGUUCGUUUGUUCAACGAUUAAUACCCUACGUGAUCUGA